CUUCAUUUUUUUUUUCUUCAUUUUUUUUUUUCUUUUCAUUUUCCUUUUUCUUUUCAUUUUCCUUUUUCUUUUCAUUUUCCUUUUCCUUUUCAUUUUCCUUUUCCUUUUCAUUUUCAUUUUCAUUUUCAUUUUCAUUUUCAUUUUCCUUUUCAUUUUUCUGUUCAUUUUCCUGUUCAUUUUCAUUUUUCUUUUUUUUUUUCUUUUUUUUUCUUGCCUUUUUUUGAAAUAAAUCAUUAGUAUUUAGGUAGUUGUAUCCGAUAUAGUUAUACUUAAAAAAAAAUAAAAAAAAAAAUUGAAAAUUGGGCA
rnacentral:lncRNA from 1 species